rnacentral:rRNA from 1 species
GAUGAACGCUGGCGGCGUGCCUAAUACAUGCAAGUCGAGCGAACGGACGAGAAGCUUGCUUUUCUGAUGUUAGCGGCGGACGGGUGAGUAACACGUGGAUAACCUACCUAUAAGACUGGGAUAACUUCGGGAAACCGGAGCUAAUACCGGAUAAUAUUUUGAACCGCAUGGUUCAAAAGUGAAAGACGGUCUUGCUGUCACUUAUAGAUGGAUCCGCGCUGCAUUAGCUAGUUGGUAAGGUAACGGCUUACCAAGGCAACGAUGCAUAGCCGACCUGAGAGGGUGAUCGGCCACACUGGAACUGAGACACGGUCCAGACUCCUACGGGAGGCAGCAGUAGGGAAUCUUCCGCAAUGGGCGAAAGCCUGACGGAGCAACGCCGCGUGAGUGAUGAAGGUCUUCGGAUCGUAAAACUCUGUUAUUAGGGAAGAACAUAUGUGUAAGUAACUGUGCACAUCUUGACGGUACCUAAUCAGAAAGCCACGGCUAACUACGUGCCAGCAACCGCGGUAAUACGUAGGUGGCAAGCGUUAUCCGGAAUUAUUGGGCGUAAAGCGCGCGUAGGCGGUUUUUUAAGUCUGAUGUGAAAGCCCACGGCUCAACCGUGGAGGGUCAUUGGAAACUGGAAAACUUGAGUGCAGAAGAGGAAAGUGGAAUUCCAUGUGUAGCGGUGAAAUGCGCAGAGAUAUGGAGGAACACCAGUGGCGAAGGCGACUUUCUGGUCUGUAACUGACGCUGAUGUGCGAAAGCGUGGGGAUCAAACAGGAUUAGAUACCCUGGUAGUCCACGCCGUAAACGAUGAGUGCUAAGUGUUAGGGGGUUUCCGCCCCUUAGUGCUGCAGCUAACGCAUUAAGCACUCCGCCUGGGGAGUACGACCGCAAGGUUGAAACUCAAAGGAAUUGACGGGGACCCGCACAAGCGGUGGAGCAUGUGGUUUAAUUCGAAGCAACGCGAAGAACCUUACCAAAUCUUGACAUCCUUUGACAACUCUAGAGAUAGAGCCUUCCCCUUCGGGGGACAAAGUGACAGGUGGUGCAUGGUUGUCGUCAGCUCGUGUCGUGAGAUGUUGGGUUAAGUCCCGCAACGAGCGCAACCCUUAAGCUUAGUUGCCAUCAUUAAGUUGGGCACUCUAAGUUGACUGCCGGUGACAAACCGGAGGAAGGUGGGGAUGACGUCAAAUCAUCAUGCCCCUUAUGAUUUGGGCUACACACGUGCUACAAUGGACAAUACGAAGGGCAGCGAAACCGCGAGGUCAAGCAAAUCCCAUAAAGUUGUUCUCAGUUCGGAUUGUAGUCUGCAACUCGACUACAUGAAGCUGGAAUCGCUAGUAAUCGUAGAUCAGCAUGCUACGGUGAAUACGUUCCCGGGUCU